rnacentral:rRNA from 1 species
UACGGGGGGAGCAAGCGUUGUUCGGAUUUACUGGGCGUAAAGGGCGCGUAGGCGGCGUGACAAGUCACUUGUGAAAUCUCCGGGCUUAACUCGGAACGGUCAAGUGAUACUGUCGUGCUAGAGUACAGAAGGGGCAACUGGAAUUCUCGGUGUAGCGGUGAAAUGCGUAGAUAUCGAGAGGAACACCUGCGGCGAAGGCGGGCUACUGGGCUGAUACUGACGCUGAUGCGCGAAAGCCAGGGGAGCGAACGGG